UACGUAGGGGGCUAGCGUUAUCCGGAAUUACUGGGCGUAAAGGGUGCGUAGGUGGUUUCUUAAGUCAGAGGUGAAAGGCUACGGCUCAACCGUAGUAAGCCUUUGAAACUGAGAAACUUGAGUGCAGGAGAGGAGAGUAGAAUUCCUAGUGUAGCGGUGAAAUGCGUAGAUAUUAGGAGGAAUACCAGUUGCGAAGGCGGCUCUCUGGACUGUAACUGACACUGAGGCACGAAAGCGUGGGGAGCAAACAGGAUUAGAUACCCCCGUAGUCCCUGAGCGGG
rnacentral:rRNA from 1 species